CUGAGAAGAGUGCUGGAGAGGUCAGGAGUGUUCACUUUCAGAAGGUCUUGGUGGUUUCACCACUCUGCUUGCCUGGGUUUCCAUUUACAAGUGGUUUCAUCUGCUAACACCUUUCCAGCACAUCUGGCUUAGCUUCCUGAGACUCAGAUGGGAUCUCAGUUCCAAGCAGGCAUGGGAACAGCAAGAAGGGUGGAAGCUGCCAUCUGCCAAGGAUGAUUCCUACCUCUGCACACAGGAGAGCCCAUGGAACUGCUGACACCUGCACAACAGCAGCAUGGCAGUAUGAGCUCAUCCCAAGACCAGAGCUUCCCCUUGGAAAUAGAGAGGGGAAGAAGUCAGCCAAAUUACCACUGCCAAAUCCCACAACUAAGCACACUCUGCUGAUCAUCCAUAUCAUUAUCUUCAUUAUGGCAGCAUUUCAUGUGAAUAAGACAAUGUCAUAGAAACGUCAUCGCUGCCUCUGUCCAAAGAUAUAUAACAAUAAUAAUAGUCUCUUACAA